rnacentral:rRNA from 1 species
AUGGAUGUGAGUGGCUCUCCGUCUGAGCUGGCUUGUCUGAAGGCCGCGGCUGCUGAGCUGGCUCGUCUGAAGGCCCGUGACGACCUCUUGGAAGAGCUCGCCGCUGAAGGCAGCGCAGAGCUGAAAGCUGAGACCAACAUGCUGCUGAAGGAAUUUGCCCACUUGCUUCAAACUUACAAGAUGAAAGGCUGCAUCAGUUUCUAUGGACGUAGAGCGUUGCAAAUGGUUCCGAGCAACGAUUUCGACUUCGUAGUUGAUUUCAAUCACGUUCUUGAUGAAGGAUACAUUGACCUGGCAGUAAAGAUUGUGAAGGAAAACGAUGCUUGCCGUGGCAAUGCAUGGUUAUUAGGGACAGCAAUAAAUUUUCUCAGGACACCGCGUCUGCUGGAUAGGAAUGAACUGCAAUCCGUUUUCUUGGACUUUGAAAAUUUGCCCGUGUCCAUGAAGUCCUUCGCUCAGUAUGAUGCUUUAGACCUGGUUCAAGGAGAUGCUUCGCCCUUUGGACAGGAAAAUCAUCUGGUGACAGCCAGGUUUAUUGGCAGGCAGAUUUAUAUCAGCGCCGAGGAGCAUGUGCUUAAGCAGAAUCUUGCUGGAAAAACCUGGGGAGGGCAGUUUGAAGCAAAAGAUAUUUAUAUCAUUCUGUUCAGCCGCACAAGUAUCUUGUGCCUGAUCCGACCAAGUGGAGAAACCCUUGUUUGCUCUCCUGAAAAUAGGGUCUUGGACAUCAAAAAGCUGCACGAAAUCAUGUCUGUGAAGUAUGAACUUGCCGGACACUUCCCUCCGCACUUCAAAUGCCUGGAUGACGAUAUAUCUCUCUUGGACGCUACCACCAUUGAUGUGAGCUCAGUGGUGCAGUAUCUCCCUUAUCACGUUGCACUCAUGCCAUUUGCGGCAAACGAGUAUCUUACUGAGAAGCUGCACAAGGCUAUAGAAAGUGUCCGGAUUCCAGCCAACGAAUUCCGUGAUUAUAUCUCCGUGUUUGAGUCAGUGCCGGCUGGUAAUGUUGAUUGGAGGGACGACUACACCGAGUCAAAUUCACAGGAUGAGUUGCUAAAGGCAGUCUAUAAGCACGAUCCCAGAGCUAUCCAACAGAUUUUGGACAAGAGCAUUGGUCCAGUUCAGGAGGACACGAGCAACACUGAGGUGCAGAUCACAAGUGCCACUGUGCUCCAGGAGAACACGAGGUUCGCUGAGCUCCAAGAGAGCACAAGGCAGGACAGCUCAAGCUCCACGGGGGUAAGGUCUAGUGCAGUGACUGAGAAAACUAAGUUCAAGCGAAACAAGAAAGGAAAGCUAGCCUUCAAACGCCAUUUGGAUGUGCAUUUGCACAGCCACUUGGCUGCUAAAGCUGGUACAAGGCCGCUAAGUGGCAUGUUUCAGGCGGAGGCGUACUCAUCAAAAAACAACGAUGUUCUUGGAGAGAUAUUCACUGAUCUGUUCAGUGGUCCGUCAAUGAAGAUGAAGAAAUUCCUUCGGCCGAUCAUGGCACACUACCGUCACUUGAGAGAUAUGGAUGAUGAGUGA